UGGGGAAUAUUGGGCAAUGGGCGAAAGCCUGACCCAGCAACGCCGCGUGAGGGAAGAAGGGUUUUCGGCUCGUAAACCUCUGUCCUAUGGGACGAAGGAAGUGACGGUACCAUAGGAGGAAGCCCCGGCUAACUACGUGCCAGCAGCCGCGGUAAUACGUAGGGGGCGAGCGUUGUCCGGAAUGAUUGGGCGUAAAGGGCGCGUAGGCGGCCUGUUAAGUCUGGAGUGAAAGUCCUGCUUUCAAGGUGGGAAUUGCUUUGGAUACUGAUGGGCUGGAGUGCAGGAGAGGAAAGCGGAAUUACCGGUGUAGCGGUGAAAUGCGUAGAGAUCGGUAGGAACACCAGUGGCGAAGGCGGCUUUCUGGACUGAAACUGACGCUGAGGCGCGAAAGCGUGGGGAGCAAACAGGAUUAGAUACC
rnacentral:rRNA from 1 species